UACGUAGGGUGCAAGCGUUGUCCGGAAUUAUUGGGCGUAAAGAGCUCGUAGGCGGUCUGUCGCGUCUGGUGUGAAAACUCAGGGCUUAACCCUGAGCUUGCAUCGGGUACGGGCAGACUAGAGUGCGGUAGGGGAGACUGGAAUUCCUGGUGUAGCGGUGGAAUGCGCAGAUAUCAGGAGGAACACCGGUGGCGAAGGCGGAUCUCUGGGCCUUACCUGACGCUGAGGCGCGAAAGCUAGGGGAGCGAACAGG
rnacentral:rRNA from 1 species